rnacentral:rRNA from 1 species
GAACUGGGACCGUGGUCCGCCUUCACGGUGUGUACUGCUGGACCGGGUUCUACCUCUUGGUGAGCCGGCAUGCCCUUCACUGGGUGUGUCGGGGAACCAGGACUUUUACCUUGAGAAAAUUAGAGUGUUCAAAGCAGGCCUACGCCCGAAUACAUUAGCAUGGCAUAAUAAAAUAGGACGUGCGGUUCUAUUUUGUUGGUUUCUAGGAUCACCGUA